CUCAUUUUCACUCAACCCUACUCCCCGGUUAUUCACGAGCCUUUGUUCAUGUUUUUCUCCUUCAGCAUCUCUGUACUCAUUUCCCCAACCCUAUUCCUUCAGCUUCUCUGGACUUCAAACAAGAUGUGGAGUUGUCGCGCAAGGAGCAUGGUAAGGGAGGAGGUUUUUCUCUCAUCCGUUUCGGGUUCAGGUUCGUUUUUGGUAGAGAGGAGAGGCAAGUUUCGGCGGCCAGACGCGACCUCCAUCCUCACGGCACGGUGGGUACCACGGCGGUGACAUCUUCGCGGCGCGCGGGGGUCUGCGAUUUUGCGGCGACGAACUUCGCGUUUCUGAUAGGGUAGCUUUGGCAAAACAGAGAGUUGAUGAAUAUAUUUACUCUCAGUUGAUACAACAGACUGGCACCCAACAGUCAGCUAUUACAGAAGGUUACCUGAUGAUUGCCGGGAAAGAAGGGGAUUUGGCUUAAAUUGCCUUUAGAGAAGUCUGACCUAGUUCCAAUAGCUAUUAAGGUAACAUAACUUCUUGAUUGAUUACUUAAAACAGAUAAUUAAUUGGCUAUAAAAGUGUUUUGUCAUAUAUUCAUUUCUUAUUGUGCUAUUAAUUAUAGAAGAAUUGUUGAACCUAUGACUCCUGCUCUCAGGAAGGCUUUGGAUACCACCAUGCAGAACCAGGAUAUGCUAGUGCUAGUAAAGAAUGUGCUUAAUAUGUAUUAUCUUAAUUUGUAAAUAUUUUUGUAGAUUUUCCAUGCAGAAUAUGUUUCUUUGUUAUUAUUAACUUAAUGCAUUUUGUUCUUGUGAGUGGUUAUUUAUCAUUAUGUGAUAUAGCAAAAUAUAAUUGCAUUACCAAUGACAAAAUAAUGCAGAUUGGCACACGUUUAACGCCUGUUAAUAUAUCAAUCCUUCAUAGUUUAGAUUGUCACUAAUUUGUGUAUGUAUUUUAUUGAAAGGCAAAGAAGUGGAACACAUUUGCUGGAAACUUACAAGAUUGCUCCUGACUACAGGUAUUUGAAAAAGGAAGCAUAUCAAAUGAUGGAUAAAAUGAAGAAGUACCAAAUGAUGAAAAUAAUGAAGAAGUACAAAACUAUAAUUAUUAUUCAUAACAUGUUAAUUUUAAUUUUUAAGAAACAUUAAUUGUAUUUCUAAUGUUUACAAUUUAUAUAAUAAUAUUUUGGUUUAUAUUUAA